UGACCACCCAGGACAACAGGGCCAAGAGAAAGAAUUCCUAGAGGAAAGGAUGGCAGGAAGAAAAACAGGAACACCUGCUUACAGCCAUUUCCUACUUCUCACUCUGUGUUCUCUGGGUCCUAAGGCUGAAGAGAUUCUGCAGACAUACUUGAAAUCCAAGGAGUCUGUGACUGAUGCAAUUCUCCAGACAGACCAGACUCUCACAGAAAAGGAAAAGGAGAUUGAAGGUGAGGAGUGAGUUAAAAGAUUAGAUGGCCUCAAAAGCUCCAAAAAUUGAAAUAACUUGACUGGAUAAACAUGGGACCCUUUAACUAGAGCAAGAUCCACAAAGUUGUGUCUUACUUGCUGAGGUCAUCUCUGAGUAGGGCAUAUGCAGUCAACAACAACGACAGGUAAGUGUAUAAGGAAGAAUGAGGCAACAAGAUAACCCCACACAAAUUUUUCUUCUUCCUUUUCCUCCACAGUGGAACGUGUGAAAGCAGAGUCUGCACAGGCUUCAGCAAAAAUGUUGCAGGAAAUGCAAAGAAAGAAUGAACAGAUAAUGGAACAGAAGGAGAGGAGUUAUCAGGAACACUUGAAACAACUGACUGAGAAGAUGGAGAGCGACAGGGCCCAGUUGCUGAAAGAGCAAGAGAGGACCCUCGCUCUUAAACUUCAGGAACAGGAGCGACUACUAAAAGAGGGAUUUCAAGAAGAAAGCAGAAUAAUGAAAAAUGAGAUACAGGAUCUCCAGACGAAAAUGAGACGACGAAGGACAUGCACCAUAAGCUAAAGACCAGAGCCUUCCUGUCACCCCUACCCAAGGCAUAAUUGAAACAAUUUUAGAA
rnacentral:sRNA from 1 species